rnacentral:lncRNA from 1 species
AGUGGAUUAUAAACCUCCAAUCAUUCUUAUUCCUUAUGAAUUAACUUUGUAUAGAUAAUUAGAUGGUUUACUGGAUAAGUCUAGAGCUAGACACUCAUAGGUGUGGCACUCCCAAUACCCCCACGAAUGCUAGUUGCCCUGCACAGUCCGAGGAUAAGGAAGGUGGCUGCUUUCCCACAGUUCUUCCGAGAGAUCAUUUAUUUUACUGGUGCUGUUUUGGCAUAAGCAGGCAGUCAUUGUGAUUAGCUCUCAGAUAAGGUUCCUGGUUGUCAGGGAUGCAUCCCUGACCCAGAACUUAGUGCUGACAUUCCAAAAUUUCCAGGGUGUGUGCGCUAAAAUCCGAAGGCCAGAUGCUCUUUCUAACUGCUUGCUUUACAGAGGAGGAAUAGGAUAAAGAAGGGCUAAAAUAUUUUGGGAAGGACUGUAGGCAUGAUGUAGGAAUUUGUGAUGUCAUUAAUGGCUGCUCAGGGAGGGAGAAUCAGGGAGGAGCCCCAUGAUAGGUUAUCUAAUCCCAGAGAGUCAACAAGAGUUAAACACUUGUACAUGCAGGCAGCACUAAAUAGACUCAACAGAUCACACACACACACACACACACACACACACACACACACAC